AUACUGCUGAAGAGUCUCAAGCACUAGGACGAAACAGCUGGCUGUCCAGUAU
rnacentral:hammerhead_ribozyme from 1 species